GGGAAAGUUCCCUUCGGGGAGCGAGUACAGCGGCGAACGGGUGAGUAACACGUAGGUAACCUACCCUGGGGCCCGGGAUAACCCGUCGAAAGAUGGGCUAAUACCGGAUAAGACCACGAGGGCUUCGGCCCUUGAGGUAAAAGAUGGCCAAUGCUUGCAAGCUAUCACCCCGAGAUGGGCCUGCGCGCCAUUAGCUAGUUGGUGAGGUAACGGCUCACCAAGGCGAAGAUGGCUAGCUGGUCUGAGAGGAUGAUCAGCCACACUGGGACUGAGACACGGCCCACACUCCUACGGGAGGCAGCAGUGGGGAAUAUUGCGCAAUGGGCGAAAGCCUGACGCACCGACGCCGCGUGGGUGAUGAAGGCCUUCGGGUCGUAAAGCCCUGUCGGGAGGGACGAAAUCUUGCCGACCUAAUACGUCGGUGACUUGACGGUACCUCCAAAGGAAGCACCGGCUAACUCCGUGCCAGCAGCCGCGGUAAUACGGAGGGUGCAAGCGUUGUUCGGAAUCACUGGGCGUAAAGCGCGUGUAGGCGGCCUUUUAAGUCCGAUGUGAAAGCCCGGGGCUCACCCCCGGAAGUGCAUUGGAUACUGAAGGGCUCGAGUACCGGAGAGGAGGGUGGAAUUCCUGGUGUAGCGGUGAAAUGCGUAGAUAUCAGGAGGAACACCUGUGGCGAAGGCGGCCCUCUGGACGGAUACUGACGCUGAGACGCGAAAGCGUGGGGAGCAAACAGGAUUAGAUACCCUGGUAGUCCACGCUGUAAACGAUGGGCACUAGGUGUUCGGGGUAUUGACCCCCCGAGUGCCGCAGCUAACGCAUUAAGUGCCCCGCCUGG
rnacentral:rRNA from 1 species